GCUGCUUCUCUGCCUUUUGGCUAAGAUCAAGCGUAGUAUCUGUUCUUAUCAGUUUAAUAUCUGAUACGUCCUCUAUAUGAGGAUGCCCACAGUUCCGACAGUCCAU
ensembl:snRNA U2 U2 spliceosomal RNA